AGAGUGAGACUCCAUGUCAAAAUAAUAAUAAUAAUAAUAACAUACUAUACAAAUGUUCAGGAUUAUGAUUAAACUGAUAAGAACAGACACUACACUUGAUCUUAGCCAAAAGGCCAAGAAGCGAUAGGAUUAUGAUUAUACAUCAAACUGAAUUCUUUUCCAAAUAUUUGCUGAGUAUCCUUGGACAAAUCAGCGUAAACUUGUUCUUUCAAAAAAUAAGCAAUAAGGGGCUGAAGUUUAUGAACCAAACUGAAGCUGUAAUUUGCUUAUCCUGUAAAUGAAUUUCUUCAUUUGAGGCCUGUGAUUAUUAAAAGUAGAUUGACAGCUGCAAUUGACAUUACAACUCAUUAGGUUUUUGGAAAUGAUGCACCAAAGUGACUACAGCUACAGGGGGUCCUCAUUAUCCAUGGAUAAGCAGUACUGGAAAUGACGUUUUCAAUGAAUGUGCUUCCUACAGUGGGUUAAGUCUCCAUGAUGACCUUCAGUACUUUUCAAUAUUCAAAUCCUUGUGUAGCCCCCUUCCACCCUGUACCUGAGCUGGCCUGUGAAUCACUUUAACCAACAGAAUGUGAAGAAGGUGAUGCCAAGCCAGUUUGGGACCCAUAUCAUUGGAAGCAGCUUCUGCUUUUGUACCUUCGGAAACCUUGAGUUGCAAUGUAAGAAGUCUGGCUACCUUCCUACAUGGAGAAGAAGGGGCCUUGAGACAAUAUGGAGAGAAAGAGAGAGGCCCCAGCCAUCCCAGGGCUCCCAUUCAUCUCAGCCUUGUAGCUGUCCAUGUGAAAGUAGCAGAUAUCCAGCUUCACAUUCAAGAAAAAAUCUUUCCAUUUAAAACGGUAACUUAGUCCUUAAAAGUUAGCAGUAGUGAUAUUGUGGGAAUCCCAUAGAAAGCAUCACUUGAGAGACGGUUACAACAAAUCCAGCCCAUUCAUUGACUUGUUUGUGAAAACAGGAAGACUGUAGCGAGCGUGGAGAUAUGAAAACCUCCUAGCCACAACGCUGGCAAAAGUACAAAUUUGCCCAACUUGUCUGAAAAGUAAUUUAGCAGUAAGUAUCCUGAGUCUUAAAAAUGUUACUCCGCUGGUGGGAAUCUGUCUUAAGGGAAUAUUUAGACAUGUGUAAAAAAGAUUUAUGCUCAAAGAGUCCAUUGUGGCAUUAUAUAGAAUGGCAACAAAAUGUCUUAUAACGUAGGAAUGUUUACAUAUAAACAGGAUGGAACAUUAUGCAACCGUUCAAUUAUAUUUGCAAAAAAUAUUUAAUGACAUAGAAAAAUGCUCUUACAUUCUGUAUGCUCUUUGAUGUAAAGAAAAAAAUAAGGAAAAUAAAGAAAAAUGCUUUUAUUACCCGAGAAAGCAAAACACAAAACUAGUUUAAGUAUUUUACGUAUGAUAAAAAUUUAUAUGGAGUGUAUGUAUCUACAUAUAAGUAGGCCUUAACAGACAGAGAUACUAAAAUGUUAAGCUUAUCUUUGAGCAGGAGUGAAGAUAGAUCUUUUUUUUUUUCUUUCAUUACAAUUUAAUGUAUUUUCCAGUUUUUAAUGUUUAUGACAUUUAUAAUCAAUAAAAGGUAGUAAGAUGGGAAAAGAUCAAUGCUACUAGUGUAAAUCCAUCAGAUGCUUAUACUAAUGUCACAGGUAAAAUAGUAAAAUAUAGAUUUUGAAUCCCCCAACCAAAACACACAGGCAGGCAAAGAGUUAUGAAGUCAGGAGCUAUUUCAGAUUCUUUAUUAUCACAAAGUUGCUAAUUGCCUGUCUUGCCUGAGAUUUGAUAUUGUUCCUACGCAUAUUUCAGAUCAAAUUACACGCCUUUCUAGCGCUAUGGUUCAUUUUAAUUCAAUUCAAGCUGUUUGAGGUAGUCCAUAGCUGACUGAUUUUGACUUUGGUGGAAGUCUUGAAGCCCAGUGACAAUUCUGGAAAAAGCUCCAUGGCCUGAAUAAUUUUUAUCACACUUAAGCCAGACCGGGAACAAGAUCUCAUUUGAACACACUCACGUGUGGGGUUAGCAGUGGAAAUGGAGGGGGGCGUGUCAUGAAGGGAACUUCCUAAUCAGAAAUUAGGAAGUGCGAGUCAUCAUUUGUAAGUUAAAAAAAAAAAAAAAAAAAA